rnacentral:rRNA from 1 species
AUUGAACGCUGGCGGCAUGCCUUACACAUGCAAGUCGAACGGCAGCACGGACUUCGGUCUGGUGGCGAGUGGCGAACGGGUGAGUAACGUAUCGGAACGUACCAUUCAGUGGGGGAUAACUAUCCGAAAGGAUAGCUAAUACCGCAUAUUCUGUGCGCAGGAAAGCAGGGGACCCUCGGGCCUUGCGCUGAUUGAGCGGCCGAUAUCAGAUUAGCUAGUUGGUGAGGUAAAGGCUCACCAAGGCGACGAUCUGUAGCGGGUCUGAGAGGAUGAUCCGCCACACUGGAACUGAGACACGGUCCAGACUCCUACGGGAGGCAGCAGUGGGUAAUUUUGGACAAUGGGGGCAACCCUGAUCCAGCCAUGCCGCGUGAGUGAAGAAGGCCUUCGGGUUGUAAAGCUCUUUCGGCCGGGAAGAAAUCGCAUCUCCUAAUACGGGGUGCGGAUGACGGUACCGGCAUAAGAAGCACCGGCUAACUACGUG